GCGCACGGGUGAGUACACGUGACUAACCUACCCUUGAGUGGGGAAUAACUUCGGGAAACCGAGGCUAAUACCGCAUAAUACCUACGGGUCAAAGGAGCAAUUCGCUUAAGGAGGGGGUCGCGGCAGAUUAGUUAGUUGGCGGGGUAAUGGCCCACCAAGACAGUGAUCUGUAUCCGGCCUGAGAGGGCGCACGGACACACUGGAACUGAAACACGGUCCAGACUCCUACGGGAGGCAGCAGUGGGGAAUUUUGCGCAAUGGGGGAAACCCUGACGCAGCAACGCCGCGUGGAGGAUGAAGCCCCUUGGGGCGUAAACUCCUUUCGAUCGGGAAGAUAAUGACGGUACCGGAAGAAGAAGCCCCGGCUAACUUCGUGCCAAGCAGCCGCGGUAAUACGAGGGGGGCGAGCGUUGUUCGGAAUUAUUGGGCGUAAAGGGCGCGUAGGCGGUUGGACAAGUCUUGUGUGAAAUCUUCAGGCUCAACCUGAAGUCUGCAUAGGAAACUGUCCGGCUUGAGUGUGGGAGAGGUGCGUGGGAAUUCCCGGGGUGUAACCAGGUGAAAU
rnacentral:rRNA from 1 species